GGAAACUUGAAAACUAUCAUUGAAUCGAGAAAUGAACGUCCGAGAUUCGUUUACGUCAUCAUGAGUUAAAAUUUAACUCCGAGUAAAAUUUUAACUCAUGAGUGAAUCUGCGAGUUAAAUUUUAACUCAUAAUGAUGUGGACGAAUCUCAGACGUCUAUUUCUCGAUUCAACGGUAGUUUCCAAGUUUCC
rnacentral:pre_miRNA from 1 species